GACAAAGUUCCUCCCUCCUUUUCUGAUAUUUGCUACUUGGAGCUGAGGGGGCCAUUGCAAGACCAUGACAGAGAAUCAAGAGAACUACAAAGAAGAUGGAAUUGGAUGGAACAUAAAGAACGAAUAUGGUAUGUGACAGAGCUCCCUCCUGGUGGUUUUUAAAGAUGCUGGAAAGAGUGGUGGAGACAUGGAGGCCUUAGAAGAAGCCCUUGCAGUGUUGUCUUGCGCUUUCCUGGGGACUGUUGGAAUCUGCUGCAGGGAUGAUGAUUUUCAGAGAACCUUCAGAGGGCAAAGAGGAAGUUUUCCCAUCGCUCCGACCCUGUGAAAAGAAUGCACUGGAGCAAAGAAACCGGAAGAUAGCUUAGAAGAAACUAUUGUAACAGUCCAGGCAGGACUUACUGAAGGUCGAAAUUGAGGCAACAACAAUGGGAAUAGAGAAGCGAUGGUUUCAAGCAAUGCUAAGGAGAUGGAAUCUACAAGACUCCAUUGAUUCCAUAAGGCCCCAGUGACUGAUUGACAGUAGAGUUGGGUACUCAAAGUUAGGUUUCUGACUUGAAGGGAACAUUGGAGAGGGGACAGGUGUUGAGUUGAAACGUUGCUGAAAUGCUUGUGGGAUUACCUGUGUUUCUGAAAUGUUGUUUAAAGUGUUUGUGGGAUUACUAAGAAACAUGAGUAGAUCAAGUUAAUCUUCAGAAACUUUUUAUCACAUGUUGGGCUAUGGGAUCAAUUUACUGGACUGAACUUCCUACAUUAAAGUUCCUUAUCAUUCCCUCUAUCAUGUAAUUUAGAGAGCAAGCAGAGAACAAAGACACAGGUCAACAAGCUUCUUUAAAAUGUCACUUGCUCUCCUUCUCUAUUUCCAUUUACCCUGAGAAUAAAGAAGAAUAAAGGGGUGGGAAAGGCCUAUCCUCAUUCCUCUUGCUCUUUCCACAGAGGACAAUGAGGCAGGACUGAGCAGUGUCUUCAUCCCUCGUGGAAUUCCAAGGUGGACACCAUCUGUGAAACGACUUCAUGUUGGCCUGAACUUGCUAGGAGCUUUUAGCCACUCACUUGGGUGUAAUCCAACACAUGACGUAAUAGUCGGCCGUCUGGAUUAAUCAGUCCCAGCUGUUGGACGCUCUGCUCUGUGUGGGGGUUCAAGCCUCUCCAUCUGUUCCUGGGGCCUCUCCACUUAUCCCUUCUCUGCUUGAGCCUCUAGCCAUGACAGAUGGCUGUUUCUCAGUAUUACAGAUAAUUUUUCUCUGA